rnacentral:rRNA from 1 species
UGCCAGCCGCCGCGGUAAUACGGAGGGUGCAAGCGUUAUCCGGAAUCACUGGGUUUAAGGGGUGCGUAGGCGGCCCGUUAAGUCAGAGGUGAAAUGCUGUAGCUCAACUACAGAACUGCCUUUGAUACUGGAUGACUUGAGUGUGAUAGAGGUAAGUGGAAUUCCAUGUGUAGCGGUAAAAUGCGUAAAUAUAUGGAGGAACACCAGUGGCGAAGGCGGCUUACUGGGUCACAACUGACGCUGAGGCACGAAAGCGUGGGGAGCAAACAGGAUUAGAUA